rnacentral:other from 1 species
AAAGCCCGACUGUGUGCGUGGUUGGUCCGAAUUAGUUAUUACCCAGCACCAGAUGAAAAAAGGAGCCUGCGGUCCGGCAGCGGCGUGGUAGUCCCGGCUUCGGUUGGGAAAUCGCAACGCGAACGGCAAGGCUCCGCCCGUGUGCCUACGCGGGUAUACAACUAAGGGGACAAACGGCACAGUGGGGCUUUC